GAUGAACGCUGGCGGCGUGCCUAAUACAUGCAAGUCGAGCGAAUGGAUUAAGAGCUUGCUCUUAUGAAGUUAGCGGCGGACGGGUGAGUAACACGUGGGUAACCUGCCCAUAAGACUGGGAUAACUCCGGGAAACCGGGGCUAAUACCGGAUAACAUUUUGAACCGCAUGGUUCGAAAUUGAAAGGCGGCUUCGGCUGUCACUUAUGGAUGGAACCGCGUCGCAUUAGCUAGUUGGUGAGGUAACGGCUCACCAAGGCAACGAUGCGUAGCCGACCUGAGAGGGUCAUCGGCCCCACUCGGCCUGAGACACAGCCCAGACUCCUCCGGGAGGCAGCAGUAGGGAAUCUUCCGCAAUGGACGAAAGUCUGACGGAUCAACGCCGCGUGAGUUAUGAAGGCUUUCGGGUCGUAAAACUCUGUUGUUAGGGAAGAACAAGUGCUAGUUGAAUAAGCUGGCACCUUGACGGUACCUAACCAGAAAGCCACGGCUAACUACGUGCCAGCAGCCGCCGUAA
rnacentral:rRNA from 1 species